AGACGGAGGGCGCAAGCGUUAUCCGGAUUUAUUGGGCGUAAAGCGCGUGCAGGCGGUUCGGUAAGUUGGAUGUGAAAGCUCCCGGCUCAACUGGGAGAGGUCGUUCAAUACUGCCGGACUAGAGGACGGUAGAGGGAGGUGGAAUUCCCGGUGUAGUGGUGAAAUGCGUAGAUAUCGGGAGGAACACCAGUGGCGAAGGCGGCCUCCUGGGCCGUUCCUGACGCUAAGACGCGAAAGCUAGGGGAGCGAACGGGAUUAGAUACCCCUGUAGUCC
rnacentral:rRNA from 1 species